rnacentral:rRNA from 1 species
UACGUAGGGUGCAAGCGUUGUCCGGAAUUAUUGGGCGUAAAGAGCUCGUAGGCGGUCUGUUACGUCUGCUGUGAAAACCCGGGGCUUAACCCUGGGCUUGCAGUGGAUACGGGCAGACUAGAGGCAGGUAGGGGAGAAUGGAAUUCCUGGUGUAGCGGUGAAAUGCGCAGAUAUCAGGAGGAACACCGGUGGCGAAGGCGGGUCUCUGGGCCGAUACUGACGCUGAGGAGCGAAAGCGUGGGGAGCGAACAGG